rnacentral:lncRNA from 1 species
GAAUUACAUGAAAUUAUGACGUGAAAUCUCCAAAUCCAAUGAGUUCCUUCGUUGCUUCACCGAGUUCCUUAGUUUUCCAUGGAGUUUCUUGAGCACCAAGAUGAAAGAAAUAGGUCUGGGGGCGUCUCCCUUCGUUCUGGGUGGUUUUGGGCAUUUAUAUCCCGUGAAAAUUAGGUUACCAUAAGAGAUUCAAUCGUAUAAGAAAACUGAGAU